AAUAAUUUAAUUUGAGCCCGAACUCGCCAUGAGAAGAACGCUCUGAACGAAAAACUAUUUACAGAUUUAAAAAUACACCAGAUGAAUAUUUUUUACGUCAGUUCGAAUUAAGACGUGUGUGACGGUAGUUGAGUGAUGUGACUUGUGGCGACGAUGCAUUUGAUAAUAGCAAUGUGGAUGUUUUGUUUGCUCCUAUUGACACAUACCGCCCUGGCAUACGUUUUGCCAAACAAUUCUGAGGAUAUAUCGAACACCACGCAGCAUUCAGAGGACUACAUGAAAUACAGUUAUAUAAUAACAACAUAUUUGUAAUAUUACUUUGAUGUGUUAAUUAGGGGAUGAGGACCAAGCUAUCAAGAUGUCCAAGUGAAAUGCCACAUUGAUGAAUAAAAGCCUUAAUUCGUCAUACAAUGUCACAAUUAUGCAUUUAUAAACUGAUUAGGAUAUAAAAUCUAUUGUUAGUAGUAUAGUAUUUUAUACAUAAUUGCGAAUAAUGUCUUUUUGGACUAAAUAACUGAACAAAAUAGUAUAAGUUUUAUAGUGAAAAUGCAAUAUUUUUUAUACAAAUAUCACUAAGAUAUAUAAAUAAAAUGUAUUUGUGUAUUA